rfam:Trichomalopsis sarcophagae strain Alberta scaffold234, whole genome shotgun sequence.
UAAUCGGCCCUUUUCAGGGCCACCAACAAAACGGCCAGCGCUCGU